AGGUUGAUGACCCAGCGUUUACAGUGGUGAGAACAGGCCGAUCGUAAAGACGCCGUCAAUCCAUCCAUGGAGGCUCGAGCCUCGCCCCCCCUGGCGCGGACGCUUU
rnacentral:ncRNA from 1 species